rnacentral:rRNA from 1 species
CGUGGGGAACCUGCCCCAUAGUCUGGGAUACCACUUGGAAACAGGUGCUAAUACCGGAUAAGAAAGCAGAUCGCAUGAUCAGCUUUUAAAAGGCGGCGUAAGCUGUCGCUAUGGGAUGGCCCCGCGGUGCAUUAGCUAGUUGGUAAGGUAAAGGCUUACCAAGGCGAUGAUGCAUGGCCGAGUUGAGAGACUGAUCGGCCACAUUGGGACUGAGACACGGCCCAAACUCCUACGGGAGGCAGCAGCC